rnacentral:rRNA from 1 species
UACGAGGGGGGCAAGCGUUGUUCGGAAUUAUUGGGCGUAAAGGGUGCGUAGGCGGUCUGACAAGUCUGAUGUGAAAUCUAUGGGCUCAACCCAUAGUCUGCAUCGGAAACUGUCGGGCUGGAGUAUGGGAGAGGUGAGUGGAAUUUCCGGUGUAGCGGUGAAAUGCGUAGAUAUCGGAAGGAACACCUGUGGCGAAAGCGGCUCGACUGGACCAUUACGUCGACGCUGAUGCACGAAAAGCUAGGGGAGCGAACAGG